UGGGGAAUAUUGGACAAUGGGGGCAACCCUGAUCCAGCCAUGCCGCGUGAGUGAUGAAGGCCUUAGGGUUGUAAAGCUCUUUUGUCCGGGAAGAUAAUGACGGUACCGGAAGAAUAAGCCCCGGCUAACUUCGUG
rnacentral:rRNA from 1 species